rnacentral:rRNA from 1 species
AGAGUUUGAUCCUGGCUCAGAACAAACGCUGGCGGCGUGCCUAACACAUGCAAGUCGUACGAGAAAGUCCGCUUCGGUGGAUGAGUAAAGUGGCGCACGGGUGAGUAACGCGUGGAUAAUCUACCCUUUAGUCUGGAAUAACUUAUCGAAAGGUGAACUAAUACCGGAUAAUAUCCCGAUUUCUUCGGCGAUCGGGAUCAAAGAAGGCCUCUGCUUGCAAGCUUUCACUGAAGGAUGAGUCCGCGUACCAUUAGCUAGUUGGCAGGGUAAUGGCCUACCAAGGUUAUGAUGGUUAGCUGGUCUGAGAGGAUGAUCAGCCACACUGGAACUGAAACACGGUCCAGACUCCUACGGGAGGCAGCAGUGAGGAAUAUUGCGCAAUGGGGGCAACCCUGACGCAGCAACGCCGCGUGAGUGAGGAAGGUUUUCGGAUUGUAAAGCUCUGUCGAGCGGAAAGAAGUGCAUGGUGGUUAAUAUCCAUCAUGCUUGACGGUACCGCUAAAGGAAGCACCGGCUAACUCCGUGCCAGCAGCCGCGGUAAUACGGGGGGUGCAAGCGUUGUUCGGAAUCAUUGGGCGUAAAGCGCGUGUAGGCGGCUGGACAAGUCAGAUGUGAAAGCCCUGGGCUUAACCCAGGAAGUGCAUUUGAAACUGUUCAGCUAGAGUAAGGGAGAGGAAAGUGGAAUUCCUGGUGUAGAGGUGAAAUUCGUAGAUAUCAGGAGGAACACCGGUGGCGAAGGCGACUUUCUGGCCCUAUACUGACGCUGAGACGCGAAAGCGUGGGUAGCAAACAGGAUUAGAUACCCUGGUAGUCCACGCUGUAAACGAUGUUCACUAGGUGUUGGGGGUAUUGACCCUUCCAGUGCCGCAGCUAACGCAUUAAGUGAACCGCCUGGGGAGUACGGUCGCAGAUUAAAACUCAAAUGAAUUGACGG